ACGGACCGCACUAAGGCGCGUAUCACUUUGCUGCUGUUUAUCCGUUCCUAUUCCCUUUCUCUCUCACGCUUACUUAACUCAUAAAUAUUCUGUCCUUGCCUUAAUACAUUCUUUUUCCUAUUCUAUUUUUCCACUUUUCCACGUUCGUACACUACUUCAUCGUAAACUUACGAUCUAUCUCGCGCGUGAAAUUUCGUCGAUCACAUUAUUCUACUCAUUCCCCUUUCUAUCACUCUCAUUCUCUCAUUCUCUCUCUCUCUCUCUCUCUCUCUCUCUCUCUCUCUCUUUCCUUCUUUCUAUCAUUCUCUCUCUCUCUCUUUCUCUCUCUCUUUCUCUCUCUCUCCUUUUCUUUCUCUUUUUCUCUCUUUUUCUCGUUCUUUAUCUGUGUUUCAUCCAUUUUCUAUUAUUGAGUGUUCUAUGUGAACCGUGCUUUUGCGUUAUCGUGUUUCUUUCUAAUACAAGUUUGAAAAUUAGAUUUCGUGAUUUCUUUUACUUAAUUUUAAAGAACUGAGUGCGUCAAAAAUAAGAAUGACACGGUGUUUUUGUAAAAGAGAUCAGAGGAAAAAUGAACUGUGACGAGGGAAAAGAUCGAAAGUGAGGAAGAGAUAAGACGAGCAUCAUUCAUCUCUGUUUCAAUCUCGAUAGUGAAAGAACGAAAGGUGUCGAAAAUAGUUAUAGGAUAUUUCAGUCAUAUCAAGCCUUUCUGCCCACGUUAUGAAAUGCGCUACGCAAAAAUACGAUCGAAGAGAAGACAGGAAGGAUCGAUGGUGUCCCGUGGACAUUCUGAAAUAUUAAUCAUUUAGUGCUUGUAAACGACGACGAAUUCGCUUGAAAGUUUGCAAUUAUUUUUAAUUCGAACGAAUCGGUGAAGAUAAUGAAGCAGAAGAGUUAGAAAAAAGAAAGUGGACAGAGGAGAAGAAAGAGAAGUGCAUCGAGAGAAAGAAAAACAAAUAUCGAGAAAAUAAUGUGACAGGCAAGUUGGGUCGAUGAGUCCAGGUGUUGUCCUGUGAUUCACUGUCAGUUUAGAAUGGAUCACGUGGAUCAAUCAAGUGCACGUACGGAGAAUAACGCGUCCUCGAACAUGUCUGUAGGUUCGCGAAUAACGAGGAAUUGUUCGCGAUGUCGAAAUCAUGGACAAAAAAUUGCCCAGAAGGGCCAUGGAAAAGAUUGUAAGUACCGCGAUUGCGUCUGUGAACGUUGUAAACUUUUUUCCGAUCGACGAAGCAUGAUGGCCCGGCAUAAUGAAAUGAGAAGAACUAUGGCUCAAGACGAGGAUUCAACAUCACUCUCCAUAGAUGGAUCCUCGCUCGGUUCAGGUCCGCAAUCGGUGAAGAAUCUCGAGGGAAGUUACGACAGCAGCAGUGGCGACUCACCAAUCAGCAAUCACGGAAGCAACGAAACUCAGGACGGGAACAGCGACGUUGCCGGAAUUGCUUCCUCAAAAAAGGCACCGUCUUCAAAUCGUUCGCCAGCCACAACGUCCUGGCCACAAUGGCAGGCCGGGGCGGAUUCAAAUGCAUCUUGGGACGCAUCCUCAACCUCGAACAGCGGCACCAAUUCACGUACGAAACCGACGUGCACACGUUGCCGUAAUCAUGAUGUUACUAGCAUUCUUAAGGGUCACAAGAGGUACUGCGACUUUAUUUACUGUCAUUGCCCCAAAUGCCGUAACACGCUUAAGCGGCAAAAGCAAAUGGCAAAACAAACCGCACUUAAAAGGGCUCUUAUUCAAGACGAGGAACAGAUAAGAAAAUAUGGCAAGUUGGUGAUGCCAGCGAUGCCUCCAGUAGAAAACAAGCAUGUACCAACUGUUCCUCAACCAACGUGGAACAUCGAAGGCAGUUACGGUGGCAUCAAUGGCGUACUUAAUACUCCAACUCCAAGAAAAUUGCCAGUCGUAGAUACGCACUUGCCUCCUACGAUUCAUCAGAUUCAACCACAGCCUAGUACCAACGUUGAAAUUGUAUUUGCACACAGUAUGAAUCUCCUGCAACGAUUCCAAUAUCCUUGGGAUAUGUUAAAACUAAUGUAUGCCACAGUGAAGUAUGCCGGUGCAAAUCUUGAUGAGGUUCUCAGACGUAUCGAGGAAGCAAAAGUCGAUAUAGAAAGGUUGGAAAUCUUGAAUAUGGUGACAAAGAUUUGGAACAACAACACGUUCUACAACAACACGUUUCCUAAAUACAUAGACAUCACAGAUGCACCAACCUACGAGGGACAAGCACCAUUCAUUGGGGAUCCGCCCCCACAACAUCCUGAAAACUUCAGGUUACAACCGCACCUCCAAAACGCCCACAUACCAACGAACGACAGCUCUUCGGAACAUCAUGCCAAGUAGCCCUGAAACUUCACUUUCUUUACCAAGACCGGAAACUGAUUAUAACAAUGGAAUAAUGGAAGAUGGUAAUGUUAAUGAAGCAGUCGAGGAAAUCAUUAGAAAGUGAAUAUGAACGAUCGAUCAGCUGAUAAAUCGACAAGGAAAAAUGGCGGGAGACAAAAAGGCCAAAUCCAAAGAGGGAUUCUUCAGGGUGUUCUUCUAUACGAGAGGAAACGAUUUUCGACUAAAUCCUCGAUAAAGAAAACUAGGAGGGUAAGAAGAUGAAUAAUUCCACACGCGAAUGCUGUCAAAAUUGAAAAAGUGAUCAAUGGAUGUUUAUGAUAUAAAGUUUUACCUUAUAGUUUUGUUGAAUUGCGCGAUUUCUUUUUCACUGUGUUAAAACAAUAAAUUGUAAAAGCGAGAGAAAUUUUAAUUCGUUAUUGGAUGAGUUACUGAAAAGUAUAUUCUGUGUCUCUCGUUCUUUCAGCAGGUCAACGUUGCUGUUAACAAAUCUUUUUUUUUUUCCUUUUUAUUCUCUCUCUAUCUCUCUCUUCUUCUCUUUUCUCUCUCUCUCUCUCUCUCUCUCUUUCUCUCUCUCUCUCUCCCUCUCUCUCUCUUUUUGUCUCUUUUUCUCUGAUACGAUAUCGAAAGUAGCAUUUGUCUGCAAGUUGUCAAAUUAUUCGAUAAGUAUAUGUGUAGUAUAUAUGUUAGUAGUAUAAGCGUGUAGUUAUGUCGAACGGAGAGAAGAUUCUCUCGGGUUUCCCAAUUUAAAAUUGCAGUCUCGAAACUGUUAGCUAUUCAGAAAGAAUCACUGUACGUUGGGGAACAAAAUUGCCCGAGAAAAUCUCGAAAUAUAUAACUUGCUACGAGCCGCUUACGAGCGCUUGCAAGAGGUGCUGUCUGGAAUACAAUUGUAAUUGUAAGAGAUGAAUACAAGACCUAAGAAUUUUUCAAUUCCGAGGAAUCUUAAAUAAUUAAUCAACCUAUAAAACAAUUGUGUUAGGCAAGACUUCAAUAUUAUUGCCUCUUUUAUUUCAAAUAAAGCCGAAGUAACUAGAACGUUACUUGACUACAUUUUUGAUAGACUAUUCUAUUGAUUGUUGACUAUUUAAAUCUUGAUUCACAUUGAACAAAACGAAUUUGAAAUAGUCUUAAAACAAAUAUUGAAAAUGUUCUGUAAAACUACGUUCCUGAAUAAUACGGAUAAAGAAAACAUAGAACGAGAAAAAUAAAGAUGAGGCAAAAAUUAAAUUUCGUGUAUCGUGUAUUCUUCUCAUUGAUGUAAUAAAUUCUUGCGUAUCGUUGCCAUACUUUUUUGUUUUUAAACAAUUUAAUCAUAUUAUAAAUCUCACAUCUUUACUGCUUAUAAGGCCAUGUGUUUGGGAAAAGUUGAUUUAAGAAAAUAAAUAAGAGCAUUUAAAAUAAAAAAAAAGGAACGAAAAAGUAAAAAAAAAAAGAAAAAAAAAAAUUUUUUUGUUAAGCGAAGAAAGAACGAAUAUUCAUGAGAAUUGUCGAGAAUGAGAUGAGAAUGGAAAGAUCGAAAGAAUUUAUAUUUCUUUUCCCUCUUUCUCUCUCUGUCUCUCCCUCUCUCUCUCUCUCUCUCUCUCUCUCUCUUUCUCUCUCUCUCUCUCUCUCUCUGUCUCUUUCUGUCUAUUUGUCUGUCUGUCUCUUUUUCUCAUUCUUUCUCUUACGAUUUAUAAAUGUACCGAAAUUUUUAGUGCACUGCCGUAAUAAAGAUAAUGUUAAUAUAAACAAUCAUUUUUUCAUAGAAUUAUUUAGACUUAACAAUAUAUGAUAAUGGUGUUUAAAUAAGGAAGGUAUGAUACAGACAAACACAUCUAAUCGUAGAUUACGAUUUCUAAUUAAUACAUGUCUCUACGAGAGAUUCUUUCUUUCCGUUUGAAUUUUAAAUCAAAAGAUUUCUUCUGAUCUCUAUAUUUCCAUAUAAUCGUAUCCUUGUCACGCAAGGGCUACCUCUCUAAAGAAUAAUAUGUAUAUAUAUAUAUAUAUAUAUAUAUAUAUAUAUAUAUGUAUAUAUGUAUAUAUAUAUAUAUAUAUAUACAUAUGUUGUUGCAUUAUCGUUACAAACGAUUUUUGAUUCUCUAUGUUAAUCUAUAUCGAUUUAAUAAGAAAUUUAAAAGGAAAACUUUAGAGAGAAGAUAGAAUAGCGUCACGAGUCAGAGUGUUAUUUCUUUUCCUAAUAAUAUUUCAAAGACAUGCGAAUAAAAUAAUAAUAAUAGUUAUUAAAUAAAAAAAAAGUAAGACGUUCUAUACGAAUGUAUAAUAAAUUCGAAAGGGUUUGUCGAUGACGUAUUUACAGGAAACGUGUUAAUGUGACCUAUGAUUUUCUUUCUACGACAAUGAUAAAAACGUUGAACAAUAAUAAAACUGACGUGAUUUUUAUGUGUCUAUGUCCGACAGAUUAAUGAUGAUUGUGCGAUAAUUCGACUCGAUAAAUAGCGUAUAAUAAAAUAAUACAGCUCGGAAAGUUUAUUAUUUCUUCUUUCAACAGUGUGCAGUACAUAUUUAUGUAUGAGCGAAAUCACAACACGGCACGUGCACCGAACAUGAAAAAAUGCGAGAGGAUUUUGCACAUCGUAAAACUGUACCCGUGUUUUGUUUUUUUUUUUUUUUUAUAGCUUGUAACCAGUCGGCAAAGAAUGUGAUGACUUAAAUGAAAUGAAGUAGGAUCAAUGCAUCUAUAUUUAAUAUGAUCUUACCUACCUGUAUUCAUACAUUCUUAUCCGUUGUAGUUAUUUAUUCUACGAUCCUCGAGGAUAGAUCAUUUAUGCCACGACAUAAAGAAAGUACAACGUUUCGUAAAAAAGAAAGUAUAUUGAAAUAAGUAUGUGAAUGUAGAUUAAAAAAAGAAAAGAUUAAAAAGAGAUAGAAUUAUCGAGACAUGUAUUGAUCAUUCUUCAAGGAUCGACCCUACUUUAAAUACUUUUAAUUGUUAUACAUAUUAUAGCAUACAAAAUAAAUGCUGAUAAAAUCAAA